CAAUAAUGAUAAAACGGGAACUGACUUCUAGUACACGAUAGUACACAAAUCGAAUAUAAAUGUCACGAAAGUGAACGAGAAUAUCCAUUUGUCAGAAUCUGACAAAUGACUGACGCAUGCGCAGACAACUAGUACCAGGCCCAGUUGUUCGCCUAACCGUUAUAAAAGCGAAAACUCGGCCUGGGAUCGAGGCUACAGCCCUCCCUAAAGAAUCAAGCCAAGGAAGAAGUGUACAGUACAGUGUGCAGCUUUUUCUUUGAGGAGAACGAACAAGCAAGCACGGCAUCCGGUUUCUUAGAUUAGAAGUGCAGACUCUGCAACUAACAAACGUUGUAAAUGGCUCCAAGCAGGAUUUGUCUGUAAGUCAACAAAGAACAUGAAAGGUAGACUCGUACUCGCGGGCUGUCACUUUUAUACGGCGAAAGGUACUCUGGUCAAAUUCAGUGCAGUAACGCAAGUGGUGUAGCCUCUUUCGGGACCCUUCCUUUUUCUUGUUUUUGUCACAGGGUAUAGGAUUAUAAUAAGGGGAAGAAUUGGAGGGAAAGAACGAACUGUUAAAGAAAAAGCAAAACCAACCUCGCUAUAAUGUCGCAUGACGGAAGGCAAGUGGUAGACAAGUGAAAAUAAACAUGGGUAGUCAAUCGCUGGGCGGAGCCUGGCAGGGCCAACAAAUCCACAGCAGCCGACACAUUACAGACUUUCACCUAUUAAAAAGCUGCAGCAUGAUAAUUGUAAUUACCAGAAGCAAGCCAUAAUUCCUCAUGGCAGUGCAUGUUUUACUUGAGUCUCUUCAGCAAAUCCCCAAUAUAAUUUGAGAUUCUUCGUGGAUGCAUGGUUCCUUUUAUAUCACAGCGAUUCUCAGGGCAGAUCUACAAACACAUGCAGCUUCCCAAGAAUUGUCCUCUCAUGACGACACCGCCCAUUCAUGAGGCGAUUGUGCCCCUGCACGGCUCAUCCCUAUUGUCAAGGAUAAUUUAUCGCCAAGUCACAAAUUUACUGUAGUAAUGUGCAUAGUGUUUACUUUUAGUUGUGUUAAUUAACUCAUUUCCUGUGGUUAACUUUACUUCCUGUAUUGUACUUUUCUGUUAUUGUGGUUUCUGUUCGUUAGUAGGUUCUUUCUGUAUAGUUGUUCUUUGUUCCCUUUGUGCCUAGCUAUAGGGGCCCGCUCCAGGCGGCUCUUUGUGUAUGGGAGCCUCUGCUCCACUGCCUUUUGUCUUGUACAUACUUAUACCUUUGUUCUUGUGCAUUUUAUCAGUUGUUGAAUACGA